AAGAUCAUACUUCACAGGAUCAUUUCUGUAGUAUGUUUGAUUGGUUUCUCAUUUAGAAAUCAAAAGUCUUUACAACCAUGAUGAUGAGAUAUAGAGACUGACUCUUAGCAUGAAAGUUGGAUAGAGAGCUUCCUUAUUUAGGGAAUUUUUCUUCCCAUUGAUGAUGAUCUUGGCUUACUUCCUUAAUGAAGUGGGCCAUAGGAGUUGGACUCAUUCCGAGUGGU
rnacentral:snoRNA from 1 species